GCCGUCGUAGCGCAAUGGUAGCGCGUCGCUUUCCUACAUCGCAUUGAUUGAAUUGUGUUAGGCGAAGGUUGCGAGUUCGAUCCUCGUCGUCGGUA